UACGUAGGGUGCAAGCGUUGUCCGGAAUUAUUGGGCGUAAAGAGCUCGUAGGCGGUCUGUCGCGUCGGCUGUGAAAUCCCGAGGCUCAACCUCGGGUCUGCAGUCGAUACGGGCAAACUAGAGUAUUGCAGGGGAGACUGGAAUUCCUGGUGUAGCGGUGAAAUGCGCAGAUAUCAGGAGGAACACCGGUGGCGAAGGCGGGUCUCUGGGCCGAUACUGACGCUGAUGUGCGAAAGCUAGGGGAGCGAACGGG
rnacentral:rRNA from 1 species